UCCCCCUCCUUCCUCUACGUAUAAGCGCAUGGCAUUAGCCAGUAGAUUGAAAGAGCUUCACCACAUAGCACAGAGGAAGGAGACGAAAAAGCGCAAACAGAAGCAACGGGGACGUAAGGUCAAAAGAAAUGGACAGAUGCAAGAAGAAUUGUGGCCCGAAAUUGGCAUUAUUACUCUGGCCUCCCAAAGUUACCUCAAAAAGACGAAUGAUCCUGGAUGCUGGACACAAAAGAAGGAAAACAAUGAUGCCAUCGUUGUCCUAUACAUGCUCGCAACUCCCGUCUCCUUCUCUAUACAGUAUGCUACGAUAAUGGACGAGGAACAUGCGCCGCACCUGCACCCACACGCACAUCCGAAAGUGUUGAGUUCACCACUUGCCAAACAAUGUCUCGUCAUGGCAGAGAGAAAGAGAAAGAGAGAGGGAAAGCUUGGAUCGUAAUCAAGGCAUCAGUAUUCAUGGCACGGUCUAACACCUUGUCGAGCUGCAAACAGUACAUCCCCGGUCUCCAUUGUGCUCCUGAUUUCCGAAUUCAAACUGGAACAACCCACCUUCUAGAUUGGAAGAAGAGGGCGCCCAGGGCUUGAGACCCGCCUUUUAUGCUCUUUCUGUCAUGCUUUAACAAGAGGAUGACGUAGAGGCCCAAGGAGCGAAAGAAAACUUUCCUUUUUUCCUUGACUGCUCUGUGGGCAUGAGAAGAUUUCUUCGAUUCCCCCGUGGUGAGUGACCGUAACUGAAAUGAUGAGCGAACCAGGGCCCCAAUUCCGUGUCCUCAAUUCCUGCACUGCAUGACGGACAGAAUCAAAAGAAGCACGAGGAGCCCUUUCUUUGCGAAUUAAUCUUGCCUGGUGGGCAUGACCGUCAUUAAAUAGGUAGCAGCGUCUUCGAUCGCUCGAUGUCGUUCACGUAAAAAUGCUUUCAUCGUCCUCGAAAGUGUUUUGAAAAGGCCUUUCAAUGCAAGAUCAUUGCUCGUGCACCUCGAUGAAUGCCACACUUUAUGGGUACCUCAUUCCUCUUUGACACGAGCCCCAUGUACUCCAACCCGACGAAGAAAGGAGCCCUCCCAAAAAGACUUCGCCGCUCCGAGGAGGAAUCAAUGCACUAUCAGAAAAAAGAUGGCAAUGGAGUGGCCUUGAAUUGAAAUGCACUUCCGAGAACAUCGAGGGCUCUUAGACGAGUAUCAGGCCACGAGAUGAAGUGGAACAAUGAUGGUUUGAAGGGAAAAAACCAGUGAACCUGUUUCGAUGGGAGAAUCCAGAAGUUGAGCCAAGGCUCCGCUUAAAGGAGGGGAAAAAAUCCACGUACAAUACGUACACGUACAUUCUUCCAUGUAAGAGCAAAACAAGAACAGUGAUCCCGAGAAAUUUGGAGUGGAGUAGUGGAGUAGAGAGGAAUGGUGUGGAACGAACAAGAAAAGAUCUGCAUCAAGACAUUGCAGAGGCAACUGGGGAACAAGUAACAAGCCUGCUUCCUUUGGUGGCAUGAGGCAAAUCCAAUCGACGCCACGCCAAAGACAGUCCCGUGAAGAUUGAAGAGCGGCAAGGAGACAUCAGCCUUGACUUGAGAUGACUGGCGAUGACUGCGUCGUUGAGAAUGAUAUGGAAGCCACAGUUCUAAUGUUCAACAACAACAGCAACGGUGACGGCGACAACGACCGCAUCGCCAUUCAUGAAUAGUAUACGGGCCAAUGGAUCGGGUAAAAUCUGGGUAGCUCAUUGGAUCGUCGUUGGAACCGGUGAAUGUCCAGAUGCAUUUAUUACUUGAAUGGACGGUUUCAUGGCUUCUUCUCCUGUGCCCGGCCCCUUAAAGUCUUGGCACUCGAAAUUGGAGCCAGUACGAGGCAGGAUUGAAUAAGAGGAAUCGCUGCGGCACGAAAAUGGCCCGAACACCCUCGGAAUAAGAAUUGAGGAUUAAGCCAAAUGAAGAAGAGUGGCUUCAGAAUCUUGAACACAAGUAGGUGCUAUCGUCACUUCGACCUUGAAGGCAAUGCUCCCCAGACACAAAACAAGGUCUCGGGGAGUAUUUUGUGGCCCAUUUAAAAUCCCCCCCGCAAUGUUGGUGGCUUACGUUUGAUCACUAUUUCACAAUGGAAGCGCAAGAAAUUUCGCCGCCUGCUUGACUAGCUCAAAACAUGUAUUGCGAGGACUACGUAGUCCUUGUGUGGGAGUACCCAAAUCACAACCAGCGGAAAAAGGGUGACCAUGACCCAUCGUCAAUUCCACCCAAAUGGAUAGAGAAUCAAAAUUGGACCUCCUGGGCAGGAUAAAUUCCCCAAUGACAGGCCUGGCUGUCUUCUCGAGUCGUUUCUCUCGCUUUGGGCAUUGCAUGGACAAAAAGAGAGCCUGGGUUCCAAGGUGAUUCCGAGUUCCAUUCUUCCUUUGAAAACAUCCUUAUCUGUCGUCCAUGCCUCCAUGUUAUUUGCCAAGCAGUCAAAGAGCUGGCAGAAGAAGACUUAACAAAACGAAGGGUCGCUUGAUUUUCUUUGAAGCCAAGGGGACCUCAGGAUAUGGGCACAAAAGGAUUGCUGCUUAAACCAAAGGCCUCGUCAGCUGCCGUCCGCCUCUCUCACCAUCAAUGCACGAAGGCAAGGUGCACGCACGUGCGAGAUUCGUGAAUGUGCACAACAUCCAUCCCAAGAACAGGGACCUCCAGCACCAUCAGGCGGAGGCGGCCCCAUUCACCCAACGUUUUGGUGCUUCGCACGGAACACCCGGUAUGAAUGAUCCCGCCGCUUGAAUCGAGGUUCUUGGAAUGACUAUGAGUUUAAAUGGAAACCAAUGAACUUUGCCCAUUUCUGACUCCUUCUCGUCGUCCUCCUCCUAUUCGCCCUUCUCCAAUGCAGCCAGAGUGCACGAGAGAUAUGCUUCCAAAUAAUACCAGUGCCAAAAAAGAGCCCUCAAAACUUGUGCUCCUCUGUCCUCUGAUGGGCAUAAAGGUGAAUGGCUCUGAAUGUCGUUGAUGUGAGGACAUCUGUUGCAAUGACAUUAGCUUCCAACUCUUUUCCAAACUUUUUUCUUCCAUCUCUUGAGUUCUGCAGAGAACUACGUACGUAUGUAGAAGGCAGGGUGAUUGCUCCAACCAAAUGGAGCCCUCCUUCUUCUAGAACUGUUACAGUCUCGAAAUAGGACGAACUUGCCUGCUCGUGUGGCGUCUAACGAAAUCCAAUCAUCAAUUAAAGCAAGAGCCAGAGUGAAAUUUGGUACGAAUUGUUUCGCUUUUGUGCUUCCUCGUACAUACACGUGAUUCAAUUGAAACUUCUGGCCAGAGAAUGUGUGGCUCGUCUUACCAAUGACUGACUGACUGCCUGUGUCGUGCAUGCGUGUCAAGAAGGCCCAGUAACUUGAGAGGAUGGAAUUACACCUCAAGAACGACUUCAAAUCCCUUUGUUCCUUCCCCCCCCCCCUCUUUUCUUAGGCCAAACUUUUCGGUUCCCUUCUAUCCAUCCUCCUUCAAGUGUACCGGUUAUAGGUCAGAAAACACGUGUUGACGAGUCUUUUUAUCCGUGUUUGAGGCCGAC